rnacentral:tRNA from 1 species
GGGGUUGUGGCUCAGUGGUAGAGUGCUUCCCUAGCAUGUAUGAGGCACUGGGUUCGAUUCUCAGCACCACA